CUACGGGGUGCUGCAGUGGGGAAUAUUGCACAAUGGGCGCAAGCCUGAUGCAGCCAUGCCGCGUGUAUGAAGAAGGCCUUCGGGUUGUAAAGUACUUUCAGCGGGGAGGAAGGGAGUAAAGUUAAUACCUUUGCUCAUUGACGUUACCCGCAGAAGAAGCACCGGCUAACUCCGAGCCAGCAGCCGCGGGUAAUACGGAGGGUGCAAGCGUUAAUCGGAAUUACUGGGCGUAAAGCGCACGCAGGCGGUUUGUUAAGUCAGAUGUGAAAUCCCCGGGCUCAACCUGGGAACUGCAUCUGAUACUGGCAAGCUUGAGUCUCGUAGAGGGGGGUAGAAUUCCAGGUGUAGCGGUGAAAUGCGUAGAGAUCUGGAGGAAUACCGGUGGCGAAGGCGGCCCCCUGGACGAAGACUGACGCUCAGGUGCGAAAGCGUGGGGAGCAAACAGGAUUAGAUACCCCAGUAGUC
rnacentral:rRNA from 1 species